rnacentral:rRNA from 1 species
UACGGAGGGCGCAAGCGUUGCUCGGAAUUACUGGGCGUAAAGCGCGUGCAGGCGGUCGAGUAAGUCGGUUGUGUAAUCCCCAGGCUCAACCUGGGAACUGCAUCCGAAACUGCCCGGCUAGAGUCUCGGAGAGGGAGGCGGAACUCCCAGUGUAGGGGUGAGAUCCGUAGAUAUUGGGAAGAACACCGGCGGCGAAAGCGGCCUCCUGGACGAUGACUGACGCUGAGACGCGAAAGCGUGGGGAGCAAACAGG